ensembl:lncRNA
AUGGGACAAACUCACUCUGCCCACGACAGAGAUCUCUAUAAGCAACUAAAGCAUUUAUUGAGUUCUAUGCCAAGUCAAUUACCGAAACAGGAGUUAAAAAACCUCUUAGAAUGGACUUUAAUUAAUUUCCCAAAUGCUGACCGUUCAGCCGUCUUUACCAGAGACUUUUGGGACACAGUUGGAAUUAAGCUCUUUAAUAGUAUUUCACGCCGGGAUAUGGCUGCCGCGGAGCUGGUCCCAGCUUGCAGGGCGCUGGUUGAGUUGUUUGCUGCACGGGAGAUGCCCGCAGCGGUCGCCCGCCCGAGCUCUUCUCCCGCCGCGAGUCUAGAACAAGAUACGACCCCCACCUCCCCGUCGGACCCCUCGGCUCCGGUACCCGCGGUCUUGCUCCCCCCUGCCUCCCCGCCCCCCGCCCUCGCGGUUCCAACACCCGUCCCCCCGGCCCCUCCCACCAUCCCCGCCUUUGCCAUCCCGUUGGUCCCUGCUACCGCGGUCCCCAACCCCGGUUUUGCCAUCCUCGCGGCCCCGCCCCCUAACCCCGCCUCUACGAGCCCGCCCACCAGCGUCACUGCGGCCCCACCCCUCCCUGCCCCCGCUGGGCCCGCCGCCUCCCCCCAGCCACCCGCGAGUGCAGCCGCUCUUCCCGCCCAAGUCCCCCUCGCCCCUGCCGACCCAGCGCCGGUGGUGGUCCAAGCCCCGUCCGCCUCCGCCGCGGACGCGCUGGCGUCCCCAGCGUCCCUUCUGCACGUUACCGCGGGAACCCUGCCCCCCUAUCCCGCCGUUCAAGCGCAUGCAGCACACUCCGAGCUGCCCGCGGUCCCCGCGGCAGAGCAGACGCCCAUGGCUGACCCCGUCCCUGCCGGCGUUUCGGCGCAAUGCCGCUGUCUCAGCGCAGCGCCGCUUGCGCUGGCACCGGGGCGCCCCAGUUCCCCAAGCCGUCCCGUACCGGCGCCGCGGCGGCUAAACCGGUGGCUGCAGCCCCUCCCGUGCCUGCCGCCGCUCCAGCCCAGUCUCCCGUUAGCGCCGCCCCUGUCCGCCGGGGCGGCAGCCACCCCAGCCCAGCUUACGAGCUCCCAGCGGAUGCACGCCGCGGUCCAGCCGCCGACUAGCCCACCGCUCGCCAUGGCCCCCCCGCAGCAGAUUCCUGCCGCCUCCAUGCCGCUCCUCCUGCCUCCCGCCACCCAAGGAUCAUCUCCUGCUGACGAGGCUGCCCCGCCGCCGCCCGUGGUCGCCUUCCCGCUCCUGCCGCCUCCGCUCGCCACCGCGGCCCCUGGCCAAGCCGUGCCUUCCCCACCGCAGCCUCCCGCUUCCGAGCUGCUGCAUGGCGCGGCUCCGCCGCCUACUGCAACCACUGACGGCCCAUCGUUCCCUUCCACGACCGCAGUCGCAGCCGCAGCCGCAGCCCCGUCUCCCGUUUCCGCCGCUCUCCCACCUCCCGCACUCGCCGGCCCGGCCAUCACCGCCAUCAUGACUCCCCACGCUGACCUAGUGACGCAACUCACGCAUGCGCAGUUGCUACAACAACCGCACCACCAAUAUUACUCCGCGCCG